GCGCCUGUAGCUCAGUUGGAUAGAGCAACUGGCUUCGAACCAGUAGGUCGCAGGUUCGAGUCCUGCCGGGCGCGCCA
rnacentral:tRNA from 1 species